AAAAGUAAUGCUUACUGUUUGUAAUGGU
rnacentral:sRNA from 1 species